rnacentral:rRNA from 1 species
UAAGACGAAGGAUGCAAGCGUUAUCCGGAUUCAUUGGGUUUAAAGGGAGCGUAGGCGGAUUGGUAAGUCAGUGGUGAAAUCUGUGGGCUUAACCCACAAACUGCCAUUGAUACUGCUGAUCUAGAGUACAGUUGCCGUUGGCGGAAUAUGACAUGUAGUGGUGAAAUACUUAGAUAUGUCAUAGAACACCGAUUGCGAAGGCAGCUAACGAAGCUGUAACUGACGCUGAGGCUCGAAAGUGCGGGGAUCAAACAGGAUUAGAUACCCUGGUAGUCCGCACUGUAAACGAUGAUCACUCGCUGUUUGAGGGUAACCUUGAGUGGCCAAGCGAAAGCGAUAAGUGAUCCACCUGGGGAGUACGCCGGCAACGGUG